rnacentral:rRNA from 1 species
UACGUAGGGGGCAAGCGUUGUCCGGAUUUAUUGGGCGUAAAGAGCGUGUAGGCGGCCAGACAAGUCUGCUGUGAAAACUCGAGGCUCAACCUCGAGCUGUCGGUGGAAACUGUCGGGCUUGAGUACGGAAGAGGCGAGUGGAAUUCCUGGUGUAGCGGUGAAAUGCGCAGAUAUCAGGAGGAACACCAAUUGCGAAGGCAGCUCGCUGGGACGUUACUGACGCUGAGACGCGAAAGCGUGGGGAGCAAACAGG